UGGGAAAAGGAUCACCUGCUUGCAUGUGUUGGGACAAUCGAUUAGGACCCAAAGAUGCCGUAGGGGAUAUCAAGUAUUGAGUCUAUUGACUGACCACAAGUUAAUCCUCAACUCUCUUUAAGCUUUCAUCCAGAAACUCUCCAACAAUGGCUUCCUCUACCCAAAAACCCUCUUCUUCUUCUUCUACCUCAAUCCGUCAAUAUGACUUCGAUGUGUUCUUGAGUUUUAGAGGUGAAGACACCCGCUACAAUUUUACGGAUCAUUUAUUCGUAAAUUUGGAUCGGAUGGGGAUUAACACUUUCAGAGACGAUCGACUUGAAAGAGGAGAGGAGAUUAAAUCAGAACUUUUAACAACUAUUGAAAAAUCAAGAAUUUCCAUAGUUGUGUUCUCAAAAGACUAUGCGCAUUCCAAGUGGUGUUUGGAUGAGUUAGCGAAGAUCAUGGAGUGCAGGGAAGAAAUGGAACAAAUAGUCUUUCCGGUGUUCUACCACGUGGAUCCUUCCGAUGUGCGAAAGCAAACAGGGAGCUUCGGAGAGGCAUUUUCCAUUCACGAAAGAAAUGUAGAUGAGAAGAAGGUGCAAAGGUGGAAGGAUUCCUUGACCAAAGCAAGCAAUCUAAGUGGUUUCCAUGUGAAUGAUGGGUAUGAGUCAAAGCAUAUUGAGGAAAUUACUAACGGGAUUUGUAAAAGAUUGAAUCCCAAGCUUUUGCAUAUUGACGAUGAUAUAGUUGGGAUAGAUUCUCGCCUAGGAGUGUUUAAAUUAUUGUUAAAUAAUCACUCGAAUGACGUUCUUGUGGUUGGGAUCUAUGGAACUGGCGGAAUUGGUAAAACUACCAUUGCCAAGAUUGUUUAUAACGAAAUUCAAUGUCAAUUCGAUGGUGCUUGCUUCCUCCAAGAUGUCAGAGUGAGAUCCAAAAAUGGUUGUCAACUUCAACUACAAAAACAACUUCUUCGUGGUAUAGUGGGCCAAGAAGUAGAGUUUAGUGAUACCAAUGAAGGGAUCAAUAUAAUAACGCGCAGACUCCACUCAAAAAAAGUUCUUAUUGUUAUUGACGAUGUUGAUGAUUUGGAGCAAUUAAAGUUAUUGGCUGAAAGUCCUAAAUGGUUUGGUCCAAGAAGUAGAAUUAUCAUUACAACCAGAAACCGACAUCUGUUGGUUGAGUAUGGAGUGACUAAAUCAUAUGAGGCUACAGGAUUACAUAAUAGGGAAGCUCUUCAACUCUUCAGCCAACAUGCCUUUAAACAAAAAGUUCCUACAACAGGUUAUUUUGACCUCUCAAAUCGCUUGGUAAAAUAUGCUCAAGGUCUCCCUUUGGCCCUUAAAGUUCUAGGUUCUUCUCUUCGAGACAUGACAAUAGAACAAUGGGAAAGCGCAUUGAAUAAAUUGAAAAAAAACCCUAGCAAGAAAAUUAAUGAUGUGCUUAGAAUAAGUUUUGAUGGGCUUGAUGAUUCUCAACAGAGGGUUUUCUUGGACAUUGCAUGUUUUUUCAAGGGUGAAUGCGAAGAUUUCGUGUCAAGAAUAUUAGACGGUUGCAACUUAGAUCCAACAAUCAACAUAAAAGAUCUUUGUGAUAGAUGUCUAGUAACUAGACUAAACAACCUCGUACAAAUGCAUGACUUGAUACAAGAAAUGGGUUGGGCAAUUGUUCGGGAAAAAUGUCCUGGAGAGCCCCACAAAUGGAGUAGAUUGUGGGAUGCUGAUGAUAUUUAUGAUGCAUUUUCUAGACAAGAGGGGAUGAAAAAUAUUCAAACCAUAUCUUUGGACUUGUCUAGAUCAAAAGAAAUACAGUUCAAUACAAAAGUGUUUGCUAAGAUGAAGAAACUUAGGUUGCUUAAAAUCUAUUGCAAUGAUCAUGAUGGUUUGACAAGAGAGGAGUAUAAAGUGCAUCUUCCUAACGAUUUUGAAUUUCCUCAUAAUUUGAGAUAUCUUCAUUGGCAAAGAUGCACUUUGAGGUCUUUACCUUCAAGUUUUUAUGGAGGGGAGCUUAUUGAAAUCAACUUGAAGUCUAGCAACAUAAAAAGGCUUUGGAAGGGGAAUAAGUGUCUUGGAAAACUAAAGGGCAUUGAUUUAAGUAACUCAAAACAGCUUGUCGAAAUGCCAGAAUUCUCAAGCAUGCCGAAUUUGGAGAGACUGAAUCUUGAAGGUUGUACAAGUUUGUGUGAACUUCAUUCAUCUAUUGGCGAUCUCAAACGAUUGACUUACUUGAAUUUAGGAGGAUGUGAGCAGCUCCAAAGCUUUCCAACUAACAAGAAGUUUGAAUCUCUUGAAGUCCUUUAUCUCAAUCAAUGUCGAAAGUUGAAGAAGAUUCCUAACAUCCAUGGGAAUAUGGAACAUUUGAAGGAACUUUAUUUAAACAAGAGUGGGAUUAAAGCGCUACCAAGUAGCAUUGUGAAUUUAUUCUCUCUUAAAGUCCUUAAUCUCUCCAAUUGUUUAGAGUUUGAGAAAUUUCCAGAUACAAUUACGUAUUUGGAAUCUCUUGAAAUUCUUGACCUCUCAAAUUGCUCAAAAUUUGAGAAAUUCCCGGAGAUAAGAGGGAAUAUGAAAUGUUUGAGGAGUCUUUAUUUAGAUGAGACUGCUAUUAAGGAACUCCCAAAUAGUAUUGGGUCCUUGACCUCUCUCGAAAUUCUUUCUCUUAAAAAAUGUUCAAAGUUUGAGAAAUUUUCAGAUGUAUUUACCAAUAUGAGACAUUUAUGGCAUCUAAUUUUAUGUGAAAGUGGUAUUAAGGAACUCCCAGGCAGCAUUGGAUGUUUGGAAUCUCUUUUAGGACUUGACCUCUCAAAUUGCUCGAACUUUGAGAAAUUUUCAGAGAUCCAGUGGAAUAUGAAAUCAUUGAGUGAGCUUCAUUUAAAGCACACCGCUAUUAAGGAACUCCCAAAUAGCAUUGGGUGCUUGCCGGUUCUUGAAAUUCUUGACCUCGGUGGUUGCUCAAAUCUUGAGAGGCUUCCUGAGAUCCAAAUAGAUAUGGGAUAUCUACAGGAUCUUUGUCUACACGAAACUGCUAUUAAAGGAUUACCCUGCUCAAUAGGUCGUCUCACUGGACUUGAUCGAUUAAAGUUGGAAAAUUGUAGAAACUUGAGAAGUCUUCCAGACAUAUGUGGGUUGAAAUCCCUUACAAACCUUUUUAUCGAUGGUUGUUCAAAUCUAGAGGCUUUUUCAGAGAUCACGGAGGAUAUGGAAAAAUUAAAACACCUUUUCUUACGUGAAACGGGCAUAACAGAGCUGCCAUCAUCAAUUGAACACCUGAGAGGUCUUGAUUCCUUGGAAUUGAUCAAUUGUAAGAACCUUGCGGCUCUUCCCAAUAGCAUUGGUAGUUUGACACGUCUUACAUAUCUUCGUGUUCGUAACUGUACAGAGCUCCAUAACUUGCCUGACAAUUUGAGAAGCCUACGGUGUUGCCUAUUGCAAUUAGAUCUAGGUGGUUGCAAUCUGAUGGAGGGAGAAAUCCCCAGUGAUUUAUGGUGCUUAUCCUCACUGAUAUCUUUAGAUGUAAGUGAAAACCAUAUUCGUUGCAUACCCGCUGGCAUCACUCAACUUUUUGAGCUUACAACCCUUUACAUGAAUCACUGCCCGAUGCUUGAAGAAAUUGUAGAGCUUCCAUCAAGUUUAACAGAGAUGGAGGCACAUGGUUGUCCAUGCCUGGAAACAGAAACUUUCUCAAGUCCACUUUGGUCUUCUCUGCUCAAAUGCUUCAAAUCACCAAAUCAGUCAACAUUUUCUUGGCGGGGGACAUUUAUCAUUCCAGGAAGUAGUGGAAUACCAGAGUGGGUAAGCCAUCAGAGAAUGGGGUGGGAAGUAAGAAUAGAGCUCCCAAUGAAUUGGUACGAAGACAACAACUUCUUGGGAUUUGUUUUAUUCUUCCAUCAUGUUCCCCUUGAUGAUGAUGAUGAAUGUGAUACAACAAUCGGUAGUAUUCCACUUUAUGAAUUGAUGAUAUCCCAUGGUGAUCAAUCUGAACGACUGGGCUGGAUAAUGUUUUUUUGUAAAUGUAAAACCUACCGGAUUUGGAGUUUACCAUAUGACGACGACCCCUACUGCAGUGGUAGCACAUCAGAUCCAGCAAUUUUCGUGACGUAUGUCCCUCAGAUUGAAAUUCCCCGGUUGUAUCGAUCCAGUCGGUGGAACAACGUUAAGGCUCGCUUCUUCGAUGAAUGGCGUUGUCGCUCUUUUACGUGUGGCGAUAACAGAUGCUUUAAAGUGAAAAGCUGUGGGAUACAUCUCUUGUACGCCCAAGAUCAGAUGCAUUGCACUCAGCCGUCAAGAGGAAGCCUUGAGAUUACCCAGCCAAGAGAUUAAAGAUUCUCUAGUUUAUUUAAACCCUAGCAAGAGAAAUCAAAUCAGAAAAAAUGAAGACAUCUCUAGUUUCAAACUCUACUUAGCAAGAUGACAUUAUGAUAUACUCGUGGAACCAUGACUAAUCGUUGUCGUUGGUCAGGAUGCUGAGGAAACAUGACUAACUAUUGGUCCUGGAAUUGGAAGUGGUGGCAGAGAUGCAGUAUUGAACCAGAAUGAGAAUACGAUAAAAGAGACUCUUUGUUUGGAUUGUGGAUUUUAAUUUGUAUGUUUUUAAGCAUGGAUAAUUUGAAUUGUGGAUUUGAAUUUGUAUGUUUUUAGGUAUGAAUAAUUUUAUUUAUUUGAAGUUAUUCACAAGUGCUUUUAAGAA